AUGUGCUCCAGGUCCUGGCUCAGCAUGAAUCAGCUAUGCAUGCAUGCGUGUUAAGUUGCUUCUGUCGUGUCCAGCCCUUUGCGAGCCCAAUGGGUCGUAGCCUGCCAGGCUUCUCUGUUCAUGGGCUUCUCUAGGCAAGAAUACUGGAGUGGGUUUGCCAUUUCCUCCUCCAGGGAAUCUUCCCAACCCAGGGAUCGAACCUGUGUCUCUUAUGUCUCCUGCAUUGGCAGUCUCGUUUCUGCAGUUAACACUCAGACCUCUUCGCCUCCUCCAGCAGAGUUGAGAUCUCAGCUGCAUGGCCCAGGGUGAAGGGGAAUCUGGCCCUGCACCCAGCCUCCUCCGCCCUCUUCUGGAGAUCUCUGAGACUGGGGGGCCAGGAGAGGGGUGUGGAAGCAAGUCUCACAAGCCUAUCCUCUCCGGGCUGGAUUGUCACUGCUUCUCUGGCUACUCGACCCAUCCUCUGUUCAAAGAAAGCCGAGUCCCUCCGGAAGGCCUGUGAAUUCCUUGAAGCCUGCGGCCAGAGGUUCAUCACAGAGCCCACAGACAAAGCAGACACCCACCUGGGGGAUGACAUGCUGGUCUCGCCUUACAAGAGAUUUCCUGUGGCCCUGGGAAGGAAAAGCACCCCUCCCCAUCUCCCCCACAAGAGGGAAGAGCAGACCCUCUGCCACAUGCACUGCACUCCCCACAUGGUAAAUGACUCUCCCCCACGCCAGCUCCUCUUCCAGUCAUUGUGGGCAGCCGUGGUGCUGAUGAGAGAAGAGCCAGUCCAGCCCCCUUGCAAGCCCUGCAGAGGGGAGAUGCUGUGAGCUCCUGGACGCUCACUGGAGGCUCUGUGAAUGGUGAGCUCAAGUCUUGUGAAGGCUGCAUCAAUUACCUAGUGGAUGAGCCUGGCAUAUCGCUGGAGCCUGGCAUAUCGCUGGCCCCUGGUGCAGACAGAAGAUUCCCCACUGGGUCACUGCCAAUUCCCACUCCUUCCCCCUAACUAGAUCCCUGAGCUGGUAAUAGCCUUUGGAAGGCUCUACUUGAGUAGAGAAAGAACAGGAC
ensembl:lncRNA